AGUUUGCUGCAACGUCUGCUUGGAGUCGCGGUAGCGGGUGCUGCGCGGAGUCUAGGACGACGCGAGACGCCAUUUGCAUCCCCCCUCCCUCCUGCAGCUGCUGUCUCCCGGGCGGAAUUAGGCGACCACGUUUGCUCAACCCGAAGGAGAGAGGAUCGCGCGGGCGCUGGGCGGCCGCCGGGCCCGGGCCGCGAAAAUCCAGCCCUGGCUUUGCGUCGAGCUGCUGAGUGCCGCGCUUACGCGCGCGGGGCCAGCCGGGGCCUGGUUUCCAUCUGCCCCUUUUGCCUCCGUGUUAAGUUCGCCGGGGAAAACCCAACGAUCCGUGCUGAGCCCCUCGGAGGAGAGCCCCCGCCCCACCCCACCCCCAGCCCGAUCCCGACCGAUGGAAAAAAUGACAGUAUAGGUCAGAACAGGCUGCCCGCGAGUAUUAAUAUGGACGGCCUCCGUUCCUGGUGCUUGGGGAGGAUGGGCGCUUCGCCAGGAAACCGCCGAAGGAGGCGCCAUGAGGGCCGCCUGCCCCUUCUCGGGCUAGAAAACGUGGAUUCUCAGAGGGACCAGACAAAUGUGGUCAGAUAGCUGCAGGAACUUACCCCAUCUAAAUACAGGUUGCCCGUGUAUAUUCCAACCAAGAUCAUUUUUGUUUCAAUCUAAUACACGUUGAAUCAAUUAGAAAUACUGUGAGAAACUGUGGUCAAACGGUAGAUAGGAAACUUGCUCUUUGCCUAACAUUAAAUGUAUGCUCAGGAGGUGCGGGGCUGAGCACUAUCGGCGCAGCCAGUCUGUGUCCUAAGAAGACAGGGUCCCCUUUGCGUUCCACCUUCCAGGACCUUAAUAGAACGCGAAGAGAGGAAUUAUUUUAGUUGUAGUUUCUAUUAGAGGGUUGCUUACUCCUUGCAAACUCCCGCCUGGGGUUGUCGGUAGUUAGUAGUAGAUGGUUCUGCGUUUUGGCUUUUACAGUCCACGUUUUUCUCUUGGCUUUUUCUUUUCCUGCGUACACGCUGCUGGGUACGGGGAGGGGGCUGCCCAGACGUGUGCUGCCGCCGCCCUCGGGCUCUUUCUUGCGCACCACGCGGCCUCGGAGGAGGGGAAAUGUGAACUCUCCGGGUGGCGCUCGAGAACUGGAAUUCUGAUUUAGGGCUGCGGGUUUGUUCCGGAGGCUGGCUGGGAGCGUCUUGUAGGGGCCGGAGGCUGUGAAGGGGAAGCCCCAGAGGUGACCCUGAGGCCUCAGAAGCAAACCUGGAGGCGCCCGUGUUCUUUGUCUUUCUCGGGGCUGGCAGCUUGGCACGCACAGUUCCGAUAAGGAUCUACUGAGAGCUAGAGCGCACUGCCAGCACAUUUCAGUGAUUAGGCAAACGCCGGUAGCCACUUAAGGCAAAGGCCAUUUGCGUUGUGUUUGAAAAGGAAAAGGCAGCCUCACCUAAUGAAUUAUGGGUGACCCUGGAGAGGCCAAGCAGGGGAGGCCGAGGCCUCCCUAGGCUCUUAUUUGCCGCAACUCCUCCCCUUUUUGCCAGAGUCGCCAUUUCAAAGGUAAUGGGAAGCCUUUUGAAAUUAGAAGUCUGACCGAUUCUGUCUACAGAAGUGGUAUUUGCAUCUGUGCACCAGUAAAAUGUGGCCCGCCAGCGGCCCAGGGACAAGGCCUGCCAUACGCCAGCCCUGCACCAGUGUUAGACCAAAGUACAUCCCAGAGGACAUGGCUUUUGGCCAACUCCUCCGAGAACUGAUUUAAAGAGGUGGCCUUCAGCCAUCAAAAAAGGUGUCCUGGAAGAGUAGGCUGGAGGUCCUGGAAACCAGCGCUCUUCCCCAGGGCUGCAGGGAGAGAGUGGGUAAUGGUGCCUGAGCCCUGACGGAACUUGCUAUUAAUCCAGUCUAAAUGAGCACCAUUAAAAAGGACUCUCCCUCCUAUCCACCACCACACACACACAAGCCUUUAUGGGACGGUCUAGUGGAGACCUAGACAGUUUGAGGGCAUUUGGCCUUCACUUUUCAGUGGCCAUACAAUAGUGCCCUUUCCACCCUGCCAAGACCACUGGCUCCAUGUAAACUUCCAGGAACUUUAACCCGGAACUUUGUACUCCCUACCCAUCCAAAGGGAGUGCCAGAUCAUAGUAACAAACACACGUAGCAUUGUACUGGAGGCAGCGUUCUAAGCACCUUAUGUAUGGAGGCAUGUUAUCCUCAGAACAACCCUACGAGGUAGAUAAUAGUAUUGGUCUUAUUUUACAGAUGAGGACUCCGAGGUUUCGAACUGUUAAGCGGUUUGCCCAAAGCCGCACAGCUUGGGAUAAUAGGGCCUGGAUUGACCAGAGGGAGAGAUAGGGCCUGGAUUGACCAGAGAGAGAAAUAGGGCUGUGUUGCCUCUCUAGCGUUUUGUAAUGAAAGUGAUCUGUUUGGGGGUUGUUUCGAGAGGACUGCCUGGACC
rnacentral:lncRNA from 1 species